UACGGAGGAUCCAAGCGUUAUUCGGAAUUACUGGGCUUAAAGGGUGCGUAGGCGGCGCGGAAAGUUGGGUGUGAAAUCCCUCGGCUCAACCGAGGAACUGCGCCCAAAACUACCGUGCUCGAGGAAGAUAGAGGUGAGCGGAACUUACGGUGGAGCGGUGAAAUGCGUUGAUAUCGUAAGGAACACCCGUGGCGAAAGCGGCUCACUGGGUCUUUUCUGACGCUGAUGCACGAAAGCUAGGGGAGCAAACGGG
rnacentral:rRNA from 1 species